GGGGAUUUAGCUCAGCGGCAUAAGCGCCUGCCUUGCAAGCAGGCAGUCGUGAGUUAAAUCCCCG
rfam:Cavia porcellus supercont2_28 genomic scaffold, whole genome shotgun sequence.